CUCAGGAGCAUCUGGUGAGCCAGGUC
rnacentral:piRNA from 1 species